CACGAAUUGUCGUGGUCAUGGUGUUGAAAGGUUCAGGCUUUGACGCUGAUGGCUCUACCUCCUUAAGAGACAGACCCACCCCCUGACACAGUCGGGGCAGGCACAGGAAAACUUGCUAAGUCAUCGCAGGACACCCGCCAUGCAUUACACCUGCUGAAGACUCUGGGCAUGCGUAGAACCUCAGUGCACAGGAGGUUCUGUGUUCCUGCCUCAUUGACAGGUGGCCAUGAUGUUACUGCUCAAUCCUGACAAGAAGGUUCCUGGUAUCUAAGACGUAGGACUCGUUUGCAGGGAGAAGACGGCUGUCCUUAGAGGCAACAUUUACUUUUAGCAGCUUUAGGCCUGGCACAGGAAGCAGUCAGAUGAGUUGGACUCUCACAUCUGCCUCCUUCUGCAAAUUCAUCCAGUGCUCCAGGUGAGGUAAACACCAUGCUAAGCUAUGAUCUCCUGCAGCUGAUGGUUCCUGAUUCAUCUUACCAUCGUGAAAUUUCAUUACAGUCUUACUGUACUGCCUUAGCUGACCUUGAACAUCUGGCUCCCAAGAUCUUGCUUCAGCUUCCCAAGUCUAUGGUCCCUAGCUGGCCUGAAAUCCUCAGAAAUCUACCUGCCUCAGCCUCCUGAGUGC
rnacentral:lncRNA from 1 species